AAGGAUCAUUAACAAUACAUGUUGAGGGACACUGAUGAAAGCUUCACAGCUGACAGAAGUGACCCUCAAAUCAUACAUACCUUCCCUUUAUAGACCUCAAAAGGGUUUAUAUAGGGGACCGUCAAGGGCUACGACAAUACUGUGAAAAGUAUUGUCUUGGUUUGGGGCGGAACACUCACAUUUAACAUUUGACAACAAAUGGAGAACCACUUAUAUGGUAAACGUUGAAACAACUUUUAACAAUGGAUCUCUAGGCUCUU
rnacentral:misc_RNA from 1 species